AUAAAACUACCCAUGGACCUACAAACACAACUCUACGAAAGCUUUCUAAGGCCUAUCAGAAACUUUCGGCUCACAACCAACAUUUCCCAAGGCCACAAAGAAAGCCAGUCGGGUUCUCAGGAGUGCUUUAUGACAUCCAUGGUGCAGAAGCCUUGUCAAACUAUCGCUAGGCUCAUAAAACUACCCAUGGACCUACAAACACAACUCUACGAAAGCUUUCUAAGGCCUAUCAGAAACUUUCGGCUCACAACCAACAUUUCCCAAGGCCACAAAGAAAGCCAGUCGGGUUCUCAGGAGUGCUUUAUGACAUCCAUGGUGCAGAAGCCUUGUCAAACUAUCACCAGGCUCAUAAAACUACCCAUGGACCUACUAACACAGCCUCAACUGAUUAACUAUUGGUACCUCAGUUCGUCUGUUUGAAGAGCCUCUCACAGAAGUCGCUGGGAUUUCACGGACUGUUUUGUGAUGGUAGUGAAAGUUUAACCCGACCUCUACCCAUGGAAAUACUAACACAAUCUCACCUGACUAACUAUUGGUACCUCAGUUCGUCUGUUUGAAAAGCCUCUCAGAGAAGUCGUUGGGAUUUCAUGGACUGUUUUGUGAUGGUAGUGAAAGUUUAACCCGACCUCUACCCAUGGAAAUACUAACCCAACCUCACCUGACUAACUAUUGAUACCUUAGUAAGUAAGCCUCUCAGAGAAGUCGUUGGGUUUUCAUGGACUGUUUUGUGAUGGUAGUGAAAGUUUAACCAGACCUCCGCACCUUGCACUGGAAAAGACCCCAUGAAAACCAAGCCUCUCACAGAAGUUGCUGGGCUUUUCAUGGACUGUUUUGUGAUGGUAGUGAAAGUUUAACCAGACCUCCGCACCUUGCACUGGAAAAGACCCCAUGAAAACCAAGCCUCUCACAGAAGUUGCUAAGCUUUUCAUAGACUGUUCUGUGAUGCCGGCGAUAGUUUAACCCGACCUCUGCGCCUUGCACUGGAAAAGACCCCAUGACAACC